GAGGACCGUAUUCAUGGAAGAGGAUCGAACAGAAGCAGAUGAAGAUAUCGGAGAUGAAGUAGACAGUAUGUUGGAUAAAUCUGGAGUAAACAACCCAGCAAUUGGUAAAGAUGAAAAUAUAUCGCCUCAAGUAAAAGGAGUUGAAGACAUGGGGCUGCAUCAUUGGACUGAAAGUGAAUGGCCCAUGUGUUGCCACUGAUGUGAGACAUUUGCCUGUUGUCCUUCA
rnacentral:lncRNA from 1 species